rnacentral:rRNA from 1 species
UACGGAAGGCAGCAGUGGGGAAUAUUGCACAAUGGGCGCAAGCCUGAUGCAGCCAUGCCGCGUGUAUGAAAAAGGCCUUCGGGUUGUAAAGUACUUUCAGUCGUGAGGAAGGUGUUAAGGUUAAUAACCUUAGCAAUUGACGUUAGCGACAGAAGAAGCACCGGCUAACUCCGUGCCAGCAGCCGCGGUAAUACGGAGGGUGCGAGCGUUAAUCGGAAUUACUGGGCGUUAAAGGGCACGCAGGCGGUUAAUUAAGUUGGAUGUGAAAUCCCCGGGCUUAACCUGGGAAUGGCAUUCAAGACUGGUUAGCUAGAGUCUUGUAGAGGGGGUAGAAUUCCAUGUGUAGCGGUGAAAUGCGUAGAGAUGUGGAGGAAUACCGGUGGCGAAGGCGGCCCCUGGACAAAGACUGACGCUCAUGUGCGAAAGCGUGGGGAGCAAAC